rnacentral:rRNA from 1 species
CUUGAUUUGUUAUAAGAGGUCCAGCCUGCCCAGUGACCAUGUUCAACGGCCGCGGUAUCCUAACCGUGCGAAGGUAGCGUAAUCACUUGUUCUUUAAAUGUGGACUAGUAUGAACGGCAUCACGAAGGUUAUACUGUCUCCUUUUUCUAAUCAGUGAAACUAAUCUCCCCGUGAAGAAGCGUGGAUAAAAUUAUAAGACGAGAAGACCCUAUGGAGCUUUAAACAACACAGCACUUACCUGAGAACCUUGAAUGUUUCUGUAACACUAACUCUUAGAGUAAGAUGACUGCAAGUUUUUGGUUGGGGUGACCACGGAGUAUAUCAUAACCUCCAUGUUGAAAGAAUUUUUCUAAGCCAAGAACAACCUAUCUAAGCAUUAAUAAAUUAACAUCUAUUGACCCAAUAAAUUUGACCAACGAAC